CCUACGGGUGGCAGCAGUGGGGAAUAUUGGACAAUGGGCGAAAGCCUGAUCCAGCCAUGCCGCGUGUGUGAAGAAGGCCUUCGGGUUGUAAAGCACUUUCAGUGGGGAAGAAAGCCUUGGGGCUAAUACCCUCGAGGAAGGACAUCACCCACAGAAGAAGCACCGGCUAACUCCGUGCCAGCAGCCGCGGUAAUACGGAGGGUGCGAGCGUUAAUCGGAAUUACUGGGCGUAAAGCGCGCGUAGGCGGUCUGAUAAGCCGGUUGUGAAAGCCCCGGGCUCAACCUGGGAACGGCAUCCGGAACUGUCAGGCUAGAGGGCAGGAGAGGAAGGUAGAAGUCCCGGUGUAGCGGUGAAAUGCGUAGAGAUGGGGAGGAAUACCAGUGGCGAAGGCGGCCUUCUGGACUGACACUGACGCUGAGGUGCGAAAGCGUGGGUAGCAAACAGGAUUAGAUACCCUAGUAGUC
rnacentral:rRNA from 1 species